CUGAAGCGGACAAGGGGGAAUCCGACUGUUUAAUAAAAACAUAGCUUUGUGAUGGCCUGAAAAGGUGUUGACACAAAGUGAUUUCUGCCCAGUGCUUUGAACGUGAAUAUGAAGUAAUUUGUAGAAGCUCAGGUAAAACGGCGGGAGUAACUAUGACUCUCUUAAGGUAGCCAAAUGCCUCGUCAUCUAAUUAGUGACGCGCAUGAAUGGAUCAAUGAGAUUCCCACUGUCCCUAUUUACUAUUUAGCGAACCCACAGUCAAGGGAACGGGCUUGAAAUAAUCAGCGGGGAAAGAAGACCCUGUUGAGCUUGACUCUAGUCCGACUUUGUGAAAUGACUAACGAAGUUUAGCCUUAGGUGGGAGCCAACGCGCCAAUGAAAAACCACUAUUGUUACGUCAUUUUACUUACUCCGUAAAGAAGUGAUCGGUUUACCGAUUCUAGAACUAAGGGUAGUUUACUGCCUGAGCUUG
rnacentral:rRNA from 1 species